CCUACGGGAGGCAGCAGUGAGGAAUAUUGGUCAAUGGACGAGAGUCUGAACCAGCCAAGUAGCGUGAAGGAUGACUGCCCUAUGGGUUGUAAACUUCUUUUAUAUGGGAAUAAAAUGUUCCACGUGUGGGAUUUUGUAUGUACCAUAUGAAUAAGGAUCGGCUAACUCCGUGCCAGCAGCCGCGGUAAUACGGAGGAUCCGAGCGUUAUCCGGAUUUAUUGGGUUUAAAGGGAGCGUAGGUGGAUCGUUAAGUCAGUGGUGAAAGUUUGCGGCUCAACCGUAAAAUUGCCUUUGAAACUGGCGGUCUUGAGUACAGUAGAGGUGGGCGGAAUUCGUGGUGUAGCGGUGAAAUGCUUAGAUAUCACGAAGAACUCCGAUUGCGAAGGCAGCUCACUGGACUGCAACUGACACUGAGGCUCGAAAGUGUGGGUAUCAAACAGGAUUAGAUACCCCAGUAGUC
rnacentral:rRNA from 1 species